rnacentral:rRNA from 1 species
UACGGAGGAUCCAAGCGUUAUCCGGAAUCAUUGGGUUUAAAGGGUCCGCAGGCGGUUUGUUAAGUCAGAGGUGAAAGCCUACCGCUCAACGGUAGAACGGCCUUUGAUACUGACAGGCUUGAGUUAUUGUGAAGUAGUUAGAAUGUGUAGUGUAGCGGUGAAAUGCAUAGAUAUUACACAGAAUACCGAUUGCGAAGGCAGAUUACUAACAAUAUACUGACGCUGAGGGACGAAAGCGUGGGUAGCGAACAGG